CACCCAUAUUUAAACGGGAUUGGUAUACGGACAAUCCGUCAAUAACAGAGUCGGGACGAGCGAAAUAGACAUACUCAAAUAUAUCGGGAGUAAAUCUUAGGCAGGGAAGGAUUUGACGAGAAAACAAGCGAGGGCCUCUAAACCCUGCAAGUAUAUCUUCCCUAUUGGAACGACGAAUAAAGACACACUCACCGGGGCGAAUAUCUCUGAAUGUACGGUAUCCAAAUUGAGUCAAUACAACACUCUCACUAGCAAGCAUGUAAUCCUUUCCUUCGGGGGUAUCACGUUCACCGAUCACUAAAGGACGAAUGCCAUUGGGAUCACGGAAUCCCAAAACACCCAAGCCUGCGAUCAUAGCAACACAUGCAUAACCACCAUUAACGCGAUCGUAUACAUUACGCAAAGCUUCGAAAAUAUCAUUUUCGUUUAUACGAAAUUUAUCCAACCGUUGAAGCUCGUAAGCAAAGAUGUUAAGCAAAAGCUCAGAAUCAGAUCCAGUGUUUACAUGACGAUGGGCCUCAGUGUCCAAAAAGCGUCGUAAUUCGGGUCCAUUAAUUAAAUUACCAUUAUGGCCCAACA